rnacentral:rRNA from 1 species
UUAAAUUGAAGAGUUUGAUCAUGGCUCAGAUUGAACGCUGGCGGCAGGCCUAACACAUGCAAGUCGAACGGUAACAGGAAGGAG